GGAGAUGUGGCUCAGUGGUAGAGUGCUCGCCUAGCAUGUGUGAGGCCCUGGGUUCAAUUCUCAGCACCA
rnacentral:tRNA from 1 species